UGGCUUAGAAGCAGCCAUCAUUUAAAGAAAGCGUAAUAGCUCACUAGUCGAGUCGGCCUGCGCGGAAGAUGUAACGGGGCUAAGCUAUAAACCGAAGCUGCGGCAAUGAAGUUUACUUCAUUGGGUAGGGGAGCGUUCUGUAAGCCGUUGAAGGUGUGUUGUAAAGCAUGCUGGAGGUAUCAGAAGUGCGAAUGCUGACAUGAGUAACGAUAAAGGGGGUGAAAAACCUCCUCGCCGGAAGACCAAGGGUUCCUGUCCAACGUUAAUCGGGGCAGGGUAAGUCGACCCCUAAGGCGAGGCCGAAAGGCGUAGUCGAUGGGAAACGGGUUAAUAUUCCCGUACUUCUUACAAUUGCGAUGGGGGGACGGAGAAGGCUAGGUGGGCCUGGCGACGGUUGUCCAGGUUCAAGUGCGUAGGCU
rnacentral:rRNA from 1 species